GUUCACCAAACGAAGAGCAUCCUUAAAAGGAGCCCCGGUACCGCGAAAUGGCCGGCCAUCUCGUACGACCUCUUAGUCGCAUCGACUGAGAGGUCCUUGGCACGGCGGUCGACAGCAAAGCGAAGCCACGGACUGAGCUCAAGCGCGCAACGGUCGAAAAAAUCGGCGUCGAUGUAGAACUUCCUCACCUUGGGCGACGCCUAGAGGAUCAAGACACCGUCCACGGACGGGGAGGCGUUCCGCCAGGGGAAGGAGAAGACGAGGUCCGGGGGCGGCGGUCCAGACGGAUCGCCACCGCUUCGACAAAAACGCACGUGGGGAUAAUGCGUGCGAGGUAGGGGUGUGCAUGGUCCGGGCGGGCGGUCCGGUUCCCGGGUGGAUCAUGGAACCGAUCUUGACGUGAAUUUUUUUUAGUUUUCAACGUAAAACGGUCGCGAAACAAUUUUGGUUUCCCGGACCACCGGUCCGGUCCGGUUCCCAAGUUUUGAGCUCUAAAAUUCUAAGUUCCAAUCUCCAAAAACUAAAACAAUAAUUAAUAGACGAAUGCUCAACAUUAAAUAACAGUCAACUACACGUGAAUGAGGAAGAGGAGGAGGAGCGGUGGCGGCGUGGAUGCUCGGCGAGGAAUCGAAGACGAAGAGAAGAGACUGAGAAAGAAACAGAGAGAGAAUUGAAGAUUGAGGAAGAAACCGGAAGAGAUAAGACGCGAAUUAGGGCUUCGUAACUUUCAUUUAGUAUUUUUUUUAUUAUUAUAAAUAGGUACCGGUCCGGUCCGAGUGGGUGGGCGGGCGGUUCCGCCCACGGAACUGGGAACCGGACCGGUUCUCAACAAUUGGAACCGGGAACCGGACCGGUUCCCUCAAGAACCGCCGGUUCCGGGCGGUUCCGGUCCGGUUCCGGGUGGUCCAGGCGGUUCCUGGGUAUUUUGCACACCCCUAGUGCGAGGUCGAGGGACGAGAAGAUGUGGUGGAUCACCGAGUCAGGGGCAAGGUGGCUGGUGCGAUCGGCAUCGUCGCCUAGGGUUUCGCAUCGACGGGAGGAGGAGGAGGAGGAGGAGGAGGAGGUAGGCGAUCGCUUCGUCUUCGCCAUGUGGGGAUCGACGAUCGAACGGAGGAACCGGAAGGAGAGCCUCCUCCGAUUUGAGGGUUCAUUUCACUCGGGACUUAAGCUUCUGGCUUCCCUUAUAGAGACACGUGUCGCUCGAUGGAGAGGCAAGGCAACCACUUUCCCGCGCCUUUUAAUACGUCUACGAGCCCAUGAUGAUGGGCCUCGCACGUCUUGAAUUGCCGAGUACCGAACCUUAAUUCUUUUAAUCCGAGCUUGUCCAACAUCGGAAAAAAUCAUCAUUCAUAUAAUAAUAGAGUGUGAACAAGGUCGAGUAGGCAUACAUAAGCGAGCUUGAGCCCGCGAAAGAAAAUGUUUGCUUGAUUCCGCUUGAUUUUUGAUAUUACGCUCGGGGACUCCACUUAUAUAGUGAUAGAUAGUGAAACUUUACAAAUAUCUAUAAAAAAAAAAACAGAUAAAAUAAAAAUUAAUCAUAACUAACUUUUAUCAGAUAAUUUGUUUAUCUUAAAUUACAUUCAUGAUCAAGUAUGAUAUUUCAUGAGCUUGAAAAAUUGUCAAUGAAUGCUUCAACAUCUUGAAUUACAUCGGCUUGAAUGCAAGAAAUGACAACCCAAGCAAUUCAUAAAUCUCACCACUCUGAUGGACAUGUUCUCUUAUUUUCAAAUUGGCUAACAAGAAUGCAACUAGAGAAAACUUUCCUCGCCUCACCAUCCUCCCAAAUGCAAGGCUAUUGGCAUCCACAUUGUGUGUCGCCAUUUAGAUGGCGACUCCAUGAUUCUACUAAUUAAGGUUAUUGAGCUUAUGGCUUGAGUUCUAGCCAAAUCGAAUUUAUGUCAGAGCCAAAAAAUNNNNNNNNNNNNNNNNNNNNNNNNNNNNNNNNNNNNNNNNNNNNNNNNNNNNNNNNNNNNNNNNNNNNNNNNNNNNNNNNNNNNNNNNNNNNNNNNNNNNNNNNNNNNNNNNNNNNNNNNNNNNNNNNNNNNNNNNNNNNNNNNNNNNNNNNNNNNNNNNNNNNNNNNNNNNNNNNNNNNNNNNNNNNNNNNNNNNNNNNNNNNNNNCCAAAUAUGUUCUCCAAUGCAAAACUUGGAAAUUCGAUCUUCAUGAAUAUAGAAUUUUUUGAUUUGGGUGGAAUAGGUUGAUUUGUCCUUCCUAUUGAAAAAAAUUAGAGGUAUUCAUAACAUUUUGAAAGUGGAAAACAAAUCAAAUCAAAGCUGAGAAUGGCAUUUGCUUGGCUUCGGAAGAUACCAUGAAAAGAGGUCCAGGAAGAUUCUACUAAGCAAAAAUCCGAACAUUGUUCGGUGCAGGUAAAGUGCAAAUAGCAUUGGUAAAUAUCAAAACUAGUUGACAACUAAAUUUUGAAUGAUAACUUAUUCGGUUGGUAGCAUUUUGGUAAGUUACCAAAAUUUUUCAGAAAAUAUCAACAAUUAUUAGAACCUUUUUUUAAAAUAUAUAUUACUAUUGACAUCCAAAUAAUCUCGAUGGUUAAAGUUAGAAAAAUUCAAGAUUCAAGAUCUCAAUCAUGGCAACACUCAUUUCUUAACUUGAAAAAAAAUUAGAUUUGUAUCAGUAGUACUUUAAUUGUAUAUAGGUGUUAAUUCAACAUAAGCGUGUAGGAAUAGGCGUUUAGAUUUCAAGUUUUCAUAGAAAUGGCUUAAAAUCCUUUUUUUUUGGUCAAAUCAAAGAAUCUACCUUUGACUGAAAAAAAAAAAUAUUUCAAUAGUUUUUAAUUUUUUUUAGACAUUUUAUUUAGAAAUAGUGAAAUUUAAGUACCUACAAUCAAAUCAAAGAAAUAUCAAUUUCAAGAAUCGAUUAAUCAAUUAGAACACCAUAUUUGUUAUCAUGGAAUUUGAGCUCACACCUUUCAAGAUCGCGUCACAUGGCGCAAUUGCACAAAACUCUGUUGGAGAAUAAAAUCUGUUCUUUUCUCAUCUUGGAAGGGGUCCUUUUUUUUCUUCUUCUUUUGGCUUCUUUUUAUGUUCAAGAGGGAGGCGCCACAAGUUAAAAAAAAAAAGGGAGAAAAGAGAGAAAAAUAAGGAGGAUUGACUCUCCAUGAGUGCUGUGUAUACACCUUCACCGUCGCCCCAUCACAUCCGACCUCAUCCUCGUCACCGCAAGCUGCAUCCAUUGUUCUUGGACUUCAUUCUCUUGAGGAGUUGGAGCAAUAGUCGCCGCUACCCAUUCCGACGAUUGAAACCCACGCCAUCACUUCGAUGAGCCUCUUCAUCGCUCCUCUCGACUCCAUUAGUUGCCAAGCCAGUUGCCCUCACUAUUCCCGAGCCGCCCUUUCCUGCUCCACUAUUGCUCCCUGCCUUCCCAUCGUGAAAACCGAAGAGCCCAGAUCUCGUUCGAAGACUCCCUCACUGGUCGUUGUUCUGUUCGUAGAUAGUUGUAAAGGUUCCAAUCGCCGGUUGCGAGUGCCUAUCGUAGCCUACUUACACCACUGAUAAACUAGGCUUUCCUGCUGCCUUCAAUGAUGGUCAUCGAUGAGGAGCCACUCAAAACCUGACGGUCCGAGGGUUAAUUUUUGAGCUUGAAUAUUCCGGUUGGUUUAUCCGAUUCUACCUCCACUUUUGUUACUUACUUUUUGUGGAUGCAAUGGCCAGCGCAAUGGUUAGUCGAUGGUAGGAGACGGUGGUUCGGCGAAGAGCGGGAAUGAGUAACAGUGGUAUAGGAGUACUUUUGAGUGUGAGAUUUUGAAUGUUUCCUCCUGGUUCGGGGAAGCUUUAGAUAGCAUGAAGAUGCACCGUGAAAAGUCAUUGAAGGUGGGAGUUCUGGGAAUAGGGAGCCAAGCCUCGAAGAUGAGAUGAGGGGUGAAAAGGCGAGAAAAGGCUAAAAUGAUGAUGACAUGUCCGGUGGGGUGAGGCCCCAUACGGGGACGAGGUGGCGUUGUGGAGGGCCGGUCUUUUCCUCCGUUCCCGUCAUCCAACCCUCUCUUUUGCUAAAUUAGUAAUUGCUAAUUGCAAUGGGGAUUUAAAAAUUAGUUCCCUGGAAUGUUCUAAAUUCUCGAGGAGAGGAUGGUAUCCCUACUGCCGGAUUGCCAAUGCUGUUUCAUGGUAACGAUUUCCAGAAUGUUCCAAAUUCUCGAGGAGACGAUGGUAUCCCCACUACCGGAUUGCCAAUGCUGUUUCAUGGUAACGAUUUCCAGAAUGCCAUGUGGAGCGAUACGAUCCAUUCUUCGAGCCAAACGGACUAUACCGGGGGCGGGAGUGUCCUCGACUCUGAACCUCCCUGUGCCUCGACAUCAAGCUUCCAGUCUUGGAGUCCACUUCCUCAUCCUGAAGGCAAUCCCAUGAUGGGAGAUUCCCUAGCAAUUUAUUUAGAUGACAUUUUGGAAUGUGAUGACUUGUCAGAUCCCACAAUUCGAUGAUGAUUGUUCUGUUAGAGGUACCAGGAACGGUGGUGUUAAGUCUGAAAUUUAGCCCAAUUCUCUUUCUUCCUCAUAUCUGCAACUUUUCUCCGCGAAUUCUCAGACUCCGCUGGACCUCGCAAGCCUCCCUCCAUUGAAGCUCCAUCCAUCACAAGCUCACCAUGGGUUUGCAUUUCCCAUUGAUGCUUCUGUACCCUCCUCGCGUUUUGUCACAGCAGAGCUGGUGGCUGCAUUUUCGGCUGCUAGUGGCGUGUGCUUCUGUUUCAGCUUCAGUUCGACAAACUGCUUUGGCUUCUCAGGUUCUACUUCCAUUCGGCGUUCUUUCGUGAUCUAAUGGGUGGGUCAAAUCGAUUGUUCCGACUCGGUUUUGUGAGGUUUUGGCUCUAUUUCUUCCAAUUGGCAGUUGAAGAUGAUGGAGUGGAAUCCGGAGAAGGAUUUGCUGGCGAUAGUCACAGAGGACUCGAAGGUGGUCGGUUCUUCGCUUCGAUUGGCAGGCGCUGUAAACAAUCUCUCCUGAGUAUAGCUGAGACUAGAGAAACUUUAUUUAUUUAUUUAUUUAUUUAUCUAUUCAUUCAUUCAUUUAUUCAGGGUGUUGGAUUCAUUCAUUCAUUCAGGGUGUUGGUUUCUUCAACGAUGGGCAUUUGUGCUUCAGUAUAUUUGGUGUCUUUCCAAUCGGACAUAUCAUAAGCAUCCCGUGUGUUGAAAUCAAAUAUUUAGCAGUAUGGUAUAUUGGAUACAGCCGACACUUCAUUCUUUCCUUGUUCUGGCUUCUCAUUCAGCACUUUUUCUUAAUAAAUCAGUAUUGCCUGGAAAGUAAUAGGCUGAUUAAGUAAACAAUUAUACCAGGAAUGCUUGUGAAAGUUUCAGAUGUUUAUGCCAUUUCACAGGCUAGAUUUCACAUUCGUUGGUCGAUGACACCCUUCCAACUUGGAUACAGAACAAUUAUCUUAUUUUUGUUUGGCCUGAGGUUAGCCUGCCUUACCUACUUGCUCUACUCUAGGCUAUCGGGUUUCUGCUCUGUUCUAUGAAGAUUUCCAAUCAAUUCUCCAGGCUUGAUUUGAUUCGUCCUUAAUGUUGUACUAGGUAAGAUGAUUAUCCGUUUACUGAUAAAAUUCUUGGUAUUCUUUUCUUAGAUGAGGGCAUAUGAGUUACUCAUCUGUAUUCGGUUAUUCAUUCGUGUAUAGAACAUAUUUGUUUAAAGGCCUUCUUAAACGAAUAAACUUUUUCAUCAGCUCUUUUAAAUUUAGUUACUCUCUCUACUUUCUUAAAUCAAGCUUUACUACAUGAAUAACAUAUUAGGAGCUAAUAAAAACAUGCAAAUCGUUUGCAUUUAUGGUAGUGAGAACUCUGGUUCCUUUGAUUUGAUGAUCCUCUUUGAUCAAAGAUGUUAUGUACGCAUUUGGAAUUUGAUAUUAUUGCCAAGAGAUAAUGAUUUUAGGCUAGUAUCGAUUGAUGUAUGUGAACGUGGAUGUUCAUGGGCAGUGGAUCUUCUGGUUUGGACCAUUUGUAGGGGCACUAGCAGCUACAGUACCAUCAGCAAGUCAAGGCCCUCAAAGCAACUGCCGUCAAGGCCCUCAGCGGCAACCCUGCCCACUAAAAUCUUUCCCUUUUUCUUUUUUGCAUUUUUAUGCCCAUUUUCUAUUUUUGUGAACGAGAGACAACUAUGACGAUAGAUGGUGAUGGUGGUGAUGACGGAACCCCUCUUGAUUUAUAGAUUUAUUGAUCCCAUUUAUCAUUAUUAUUGCUGUCGUUACUGUUCAAUGAUUAGUGGUGGAAGUAUUUCCUUUUCUUUCGUAUUCUAUCUCCCUGUGAUCACGUGCGCUCCUGUCAAAACCAACCCAACAACCCCAAUCAAGUCGAGUGUAGAGACUGUGGCAGACAUAAACCCUACAUCCAGGACUCCUAACGAUGAGCAAAUAUUCGGUAUAAAACUAGAAUUGGACCUGGAACAUGCGUGAUCAGCACGAGGAUGAACAUUCCGUGCGUCUCUAAGGAAACACACCUGGUACUAACAGGAUGAGCAAAAAGUUGCUCGAACUAUAUAAUAAUAUUGAUGUGGUUUUGAGUCGGCGUCCUUCUAUCGUCGGAUGUAACAUUACAGUGUCUCGACUGAGGGCUGAAUCCCGACUAAUCCUGGCAAAAAGCCAGGGUGACAAGAGGGGGGUGGGGGAAAGAGGUGAGGCGACAAGUGCUGCGUCGAUCUACUUUCGGACUCAAAAUUGCAUCUAGCCAAUAGCACGUCCAAGUAGACAGAGAAAAUAUGAGAAAAUAUUGGAUAGAGCUAUUGUUCGGGCAAAAUGUGAAAAUGUUUAGGACUUAAUUGAUAUAAUUAAAAGGUUCAGGAUUAAAUUAAUACAAAUGCAAUAAGUUUAGGAUUAUUAUUAUUAUUAUUAUUAUUAUUUGAUAAUUUUCCCGUCAAUGCCAUGGUUCAUACAAUUCGACAUUCUGACCACUACAUGUAAAACAGGUCAAUCAAAUGAUGAAAUUUGACUUACGGAUCAAUAAUAUCACACUAAUUCAGCUCUUUUCCUCUCCUUACUCAGAUCUUACUAUUGCUUAAAAAUAACAAAAAUUCAACGACGGUUAUAGCGUAUAAUAUAUGGUCAUAAAAUCCCAUAGAGUUGCCUCCAGAAAAUUUUGCAAGCUAGGCAUUCAGAAUGCUACACAUAAAUUUACGAUGUCAUGAUGCUUCACUUGUAAUCAAAUUACAUUAUCUAAUUCUUCGUUGAGUGAAGGUGUCAAAAAUUGGCUUAUGGGGAGCGAGAUUUCGAGUACAUUUGACUUUUACAUUUAAUUCCAAGUUUUGAUAACGAUGUAUUUAGUAAUAACAACUCGAUUGAUUAAUACAUAAUACGAAAGAAAAUCAUGAUAUUCAUGAAAAUGUAAUAUUCAAUCAAAACCUUAUAAAUUAGAAAGACCAUAUAUAUGUGAAAAAUGAAAAUGCAUUAACUUAGAAUUUAAUAAAAGGAAGCAUCGAUGGCUAAAAACAAUGUAGAAGAAUGACUUCAGGAUUAGGGCAUGGGACGACUCAAAUAGGUGUUCAACGGUUGGAUUAUCGUACUUCCAAAUAAUAUUGAAAAUACUAGGUAUGUAGGAUUAUUGCUCUAGAUCCCUCCUUGACUUUAUCUUCUUUUAAUCAAGCUCAUGAGAUAUAUCAUGAUUUUAAGAAAUAUUGAAUGUUUCUGUUACUUUUUUGAAAUUACUAGGAUAGUGAAUGUUAUGAAACAAUAGUUGUAUGGACAUCGAAAAUUUUUCUAGUUGAUUUGAUUUGUUCAAAUAAAUAUUGGUGGUAUGAAAUUCUGAUUCGUAGCCUGUCAAAUGUUAGUGAUAUCACUGAAGAAAAUAGACUAGAGCAAUCGAAAAUUGAAAAAAAAAAUCUAAUUUCUAUCUGUUUUAUGCAAAAUGGACGAAUUUCCUGUAAAAUAAUAAUAAUAAUAAUAAUAACAACAAUAGCAACAGUAGCAACAACAAAAAUAAUUAUAAUUGAGCAUCUUUGGAUGUUUCAAGGCUUUGAGUAAUUUUUGGACCAUUGGGUUUACUUAUCGGGCCCAUGGAUCCAAAAUCGAGUAUCAAAGGGCAUUCACAUAAAUUUCGUCCUAAACGGGCUUCUUGGCCCAAGUGAGUUCAGCCGCUAUUUCUGUGGGUGCAAUUUCUGAUAAAGGGCUGAAACUUGCAUCGCAUUGUUACUAAGAGGUAAAAUUAUUUGGUUAUAAUAUUGGAUUGGGUAUUGGAUUUUGGAUAUACAUUGAAAAUGAUUAUGUAGGUGAACUAUUUCAAAUCACUUAUUGGUAUGUUGGAUAUCAUGUAUUGAUAUUGAAUUGAUGCACAUGGUCAACCUAUGCAUUGAGAGAUGAUAUAUAUUUCUAAAAUCGGUUCGAUUUUGGGGCUCAGCCACAAGUGAAAUGUUUUCUAGGGCUUAACUACAAGGGGCGUGGUUCUCUAGAUCUUGUAACCUACCAAAGUGUGGCCAUAGUGUUCCGAAAUGAGCAACUGGUCUAGUAUCUUUAUGCUGAGUAUUUCAAUGAUGUAUGAUGUGCGUGAUUUAACUACGGUGUUUUUGUUAAUGUGCCGCAUAAUCAUUCGCUACUCAAUUUCAUUGAAGUGGUGAUUGUUACCGCUGUAGUCAUAAUUUUGCUCACCCCUUUCGAUAUCAUUUCAGGUUGUGAGUAAAGAUACUUGAUUGAGUCACAUAAAGAGCAAUAUGAAAUGGCGUGGAACUCUAAUUAAGACUUUUUUUCUUCUUUUUUUUGUGGGUCAAAAUAAUUUAGAUCGCUUGAGUAAGGGCUAUCAUGAAACUCUCAUUUGGAUUAAUUUACGACACUCUGAACUUUGUUAACAUAUUCAUUCGGUGAAAGGUAGCUAUUAGGGGUGAGCAGCGGUCUAGGGUCGACCCUGGACCGACCCUGGACUGACCCAACCCUGCCGGUCCUGGUCCGGUUCCCAAGAGGACUGGAUCGGUCAUUGGUCCUGAAAUUCCAAGACCAACACUGUGCGGGUUAGUUCUCGGUCCUAAGAGUUUUGGGUCGGUCCAACCCUGGACCAACUCUGUAUAGUAUAUUAUAUUAUAUUAUAUUAUAUUAUUUUAUUUAUAAUUCUUUUAUAUAUUCAAAUCUAAGUAAAAUGUCUGUUAUAUUAUAUUAUAUUGAGAUGUUCUAUCAAUAUCACUAAUAGUAAUUUCAAUUUAAAACUUUUGUUGAGUAUUAAUUAUAUGUCGUUUGUUUUGUUUUCAGGUGUUUAGAAGUUCAAGUGAAUUAAUAAGAUGUGAAGUUAUAUAUAUUCAUGGUUUAUAUUAAGUAUUUUGAACUUUUUAUGAUUUAAUUGUAUUUUACUAAUGAAUUUCAACUGCACUUUGCUUUUCGAUUUGUGUCAAAUGGUAGAAGUUUUUGAAGAGUAGAGUAGUACUGCAUUUGCUAUGGUGAUUUGCUAGUCAAGUGGUGUGAAGUUCAUUUUUUUGUUGAGUGGACUCUAUAUGAUCAAAUGCAGGAAAACGCUUUUGUAUAUGAUGUUAUGAAUAUUAAAGAUAGAUGAUUACAAGAACUUUCCAUCUUGUUCCAUAUCUCGAUGAGCGGUUAGUAGGUACGAAAUUUCUAUUAUUGUGUCAUCUUAAAUUUGCUAAAUAUGUAUUGGUAUUUAUAGUUUAGUUACAUAAUGUCGCAUUGUCGAUGGAUGUAUAAUUUGAAUUUUUAGGUUUGCUUUUUUAGGGAGUAUAAAAAAUAAGACGAAAAAAAAUUAUCGAUCGGUCCCGGGUUGACCAUGGAACCGGACCAAACCCAUUAGGUCGGUCCGGUCCUUGGUCCCAAGCUCAAUAGGGUCGGUCAUCGGUCCUAAAAAUUGAGGACCGACACUGUACGGGUUGGUCCUAGGGUUAGGGGGUGGCCCGGACCAACCCGAACCAUGCUCACCCCUAGUAGCUAUCAUCGGUUGAAGGUUUUGUCCUUUAUUUUAUAGGGAAUAUUCGGUCAUUCCCUAGAUUCUAAGUUCGGAUUUGGAGCCUGGCAGUAGGUGACAUUCGCGCACGCACAUUUAUUGCGAGAUGGAAAAGUAGUCAAUGUUGAAAAGUCGACCAAACAAAAAAAAAAUAUUAAAGCAAUAGCAUCCAUAGCAACCUAAACUCUAGAUUUUAGCCAGUUUUAACUUUAGCCUCCCUUGAUUUUUUUUCUUUUUUUUUUUGAGUCGAAUGGCCUCCCUUGUUUUUUUUUUGUCAAUUCUACUCUAUUCCUACUCUACACUCACUCUCAGACUUUUGCCCUACCUCUUGCAGGGUGUGGGAGUCGAAACCCACUCCUGAAACUUACGCGUCCCCACCCCAUCCCCCCUUGAGAAGGUGGGGAUUUGAACCCCUCACCUCCCCCUUCCAUGUUAGAAGGGUGGUCACUGGGGUGAAUCCAGUGGUUGAAUGGCCUCCCAUGUUUAGCCGCCUGGAAUUGCCCUUGUUUGUUUACGUGGGUCGAGAGUGUAUUAAUAAACUUAUAUUAUCGAAAAAGAAAAAUUCAUAAUUUCCUCUUUUAGAAAACAGACAAAAUAAAUAAAAUAUUAGAGCACCGUGAGAGCACCGUGAGAGAUUAUAGAAGGAAUUCCUCCGAGCCAAAUUACUAGUAAUAGUGCUUGUAAGCACAUCUUCUAUUGGAUGAUGGGCACAACUUCAAUUUUGAAUAAAUUUUGGGACUUUAUUGAGAUAUUUCCGCGUCACCUGCCAACGUCACCGUAUUAGGGAAACGCGUCAGAGGUUAAAGCUUGAACUGCAAGAUUGGCCACGUACACCAGAAAGCCAAGCAGCCUUCAGAGUUGACAAAAUCCCCACUUCACUCGGUUUGGUUUGCAUAUGUUUAAUUUGAUCACUCCACCACCUUAUGCUAAUCCACUCGCAUUCUUUGUCUUAUUAUAAUUUGGGUUAUAAGGAAAAACCCAAAAUUAAUAUACCUUUAAUAAAUUAAUUCUAUACUAAUUUUUUGAUCACUACAAAUCCAAAACUGAUAUGAUAGAUUUAUCAUAAUUUAAUUUUUUUAAUCAUAAAAAAUAUUAAACUGAUAUAUUUGUGAUAAAUUUACUCUAUGUUAGUUUAUCUUAAAUUGGAUUAAUACUACAGAAAAUCCAAAUUGAUACAUUUGUGACGAACGGACGGCAUGUGCCAUCCAACUCAAUAAUUUGACGAUAAGCUUUAAUAGAAAUUAAUAUAAAGUAAAUUUGUUACACGUAUAGCAAUUUAGGGUUUUGGAGAGUUUAAAAAUCAGUUUGAGUAAACGUGUUACAGUGUACCAAUUCGGAAUUUAUCUUAAUAUUAACUUUUAUUAUUAUUAUUAUUAUUAUUAUUUUCAAUAUUAUAAUAAAAUUGGCCACGUCCAACGUAAAGCCAAGCUUGGAGUUUGGCCUUAUAAUCGCAUGUGAUUAGAAGUGAUUAAUGUUUUUUAGCACUAUAGAUUAUUACAAAUAGAGAUAAGUGCAUUUGAAGUUUUAAAACUUAUCAUGAAAGUGUAAUUGAGUCUUAAGAUUUUUAAAAAAUGCAAUCAAAUUUUAAAAUUUAUCAAAUUAAUGUAAUCAAAUCCUUCUGUUAAUUCCAUUACGAAAAAUGCUGACAUGACAUUCUUUGUUAUUUUCUUCUCCAAAUCUAACUUAAAUUAGAUUUUUUAAAAAUUAAAAACAUAUUAAAAAAAGAAAAAGUGCCCUCACCGGUGGGUCACCAACGCCGAAGAGGGCCGGUGGAGGUCACCGAGGCAGGCUGAAUUUUUUUGGGUCUUACAGGCUGGUGCAGCCAUUUAUUUCAUCCAGAAAGAAAGAAAUAGGGCACUUCAUGGAGGAACAUCUUCUGUUGACGGAAUUAUCAGCAAUGUUCAUUUCUCCAUUAGAGUGCAGAUGUCCUCCUUCAUUAUGUUGAGGAAGAGGGCAUUGCUGCAAGAAGAUGAGGAGUUUCCGGAUGGUAUAAUUGAUCACUCUUGGCAGCUGUGGCGGCCGCGGCGACCCAUCGGCGAGGAUCCUAUGGCUCUUUUUUAAAAUGCAAAAUAAAAUAAAAUAAAAUUUUAGAUUAUUUUAAUCUAAUUUAAGUAAGAUUUGAUGAACAAAAUAAUUAGAAAAAAGGUCACGUAGGAGAGAGAAAAUAAAUAAAAAAAUUUACAUGCCAGCGUUUUUUUUUUUUUUUGGUACCCAGGGAACCUGUGCGCCGCUUCGUGGCGGAGUAAACCCUGUGGUGACCUGGGCCCCCACGGCUGACCCAAAACCACGAAGCUUCGAACUCCUCCCCUAGCGGAUAGGGUACUAAGCACGAAGCCAACGCGGCCACCGCGGGCGGUGGUGACAUGCCAGCGUUUUCUGCUAAAUAGUUUACCAAGUUAAUGGAAAUAGUUGAGUACACUAAUUUGACAAAUUUUAGAGAUUGAUUGUGAUUUUUGAAAAUUUUAGAGCUCAAUUACAUUUUCGCAACAAGUUUUAAGGCUCCCAGUACAUCCAUCUUGACACAAAUUCAAGCAUGUCUUCAUUUAUAAAAGACUGUAGGAUAAAUUUACCUCAAAACUCACGCUGAAGGCAAAAAUAGCUUAAUUAUCUAAUAGGCUAAAGCCCGAAAAAGAAGAUAAUAAUAAAAAAAAAAAGAUGCAAUUUCAUAAUAUAAGGGGGCAAAGUGCUAAAAUCUGAGAAAAUUUAGAUUAAAAAAAAAAAAAAGACACUAGCCGGUAACGUUUCGGGGAAAUGCAUCAAGUCACAUUUCGCGGAAAGUUAUGUGCUGCAGGAUGUAUACAAAAAGAAGACGCACUGCCAAUGAUUACAAGAGAGUUUGGGUUCGUUGAUGAACUGCCUUCCCUGUCUGAUUCUCUGUCUGCUGCAGUUCUUCAGCAACCAAACUCUAGACACCUGCUUAGUUCUUGUUAAGCUUCACAGAAGAACAGGAAAACCAUGUCGAUGCAGAAGAGAGCUUUGCCUUCCUCCUCUUCUUCAGGUCAACCAAGUCAACCCAAGAGGCCAUGCUUGCCUCCAAUCGAGUAAGCUCGCUCUUUCCUCUUAACCUUUCAAUGUUUGAUUCAUUGUUUGAUGAUCUUGCGUUAGUUUUAGCUGUACUUGAGGGAGAUUCAAUGAAGGGUUGUUGAGUUGAAGAUUCUUGAAAUGAGAGAUACGGUGAAAGCCCGCCAUCGAUAAGCUUUUGCCUCAUGACCGUUCGAAAUCGCUUUCGUUCAGUUCUUUGUUGGUGGGUUUGUGCUGUUGUUCUAAUGCGAAGAAUUAAAGACCAUGAAUGUUGUCGUCCCGGCUGUUUUGUGAUUUCGCGUUUGGCAAUCGCAGUACUUCCUCCUGAAUCUAGCUGUAUUCUUGGUAGAAUCAUUUGCCUGGCAAGUGAGCUGUUAUCUUUACCAGGUUACUUUGCUAUCCUGUAGUCUAAAAUAUCCUAUCUCGCUUUUAAUUUUGUGCUGAUGUUCAUGCAGUCAAGCAUGGAAUGGGUCUGAGACGAAUCUCAUGCCAUGUCGCUGUUUGACAAAGGAGGAUGUGUGGAGUGUGGUAAGAUGAGUAAAGUAGCCAACUAGAUCAUGCAAAGUGCAGUCCUUAUUAUAUUUCAAUUCCUGAUCUCUUUUGAGUUGAGCAGUUAGAUGAAUUUCUAACAUUCCAGUCAGUUUCUGGAUGGAAAUCCGUAUGAGAAAUAGCUGUGAGAUGUAUAGAGAAUUAUUCUUUGUGUGGUAAAAAUGACCCGUUGAAUAUUCUAGGCUUUUCAUGUGAAGCAAUUGCACUGAGAACAUGCUUUAGGCUUUUCAUGUUGUUUUGGAUAGUAUGAAUCACAAAAAGAUCCAAAUUUUCAAUGAAGUGCCCUGGACAUAACUGUCGCCAUGAAUCUUGGAAAUGUGGUCGAUAUUAAUUUAAAUGUAGAAGGAGGACAAAGAAGAUGCCUGUGAUGUGAAACUUGAAUGCAAUGAUUACAUGACAGAUGAUUCUUGCAACGUAAUUCUUUGCUAUCACUCUUUGCUAAACAGGUUAGAGAAGUGCUGGAGCGGGCUAAGUCUCACUCGCCUGAAUGUCAAAGGUGAAUAUAUUUCUUGGGUUCACUGGCAGUAUCUUAUCUGCAUCAAUCGAUUCCUCCAGUAGAAUUUCCAUUUGUGUUGUCUCGCCAUAUGAAAAUAUCAUCAGAUUCUCAUAUGCCAUCAAUCCAUGAUUCUUUUAGGCAAAGGGGAAUACCUGCAGACACUUUUUUUUGUUAAUCACUGAAAAGACUCUGCAGUUGUAGAUAGCUGCUAAUUAACUUUACUGGCUUCUUUUAUAACUGUACUGGAUAAAUACGUAUUCCAGCUUCAUGUCAAAUUUUUUUUUUUUUUAGUGUAGUAUCUAUGUUUUUAUCCUGUAAUUAGGUCUGACAUUUAUUUGGACUAGUGAAUAAUAUGUUACAUAUGGAUAUUUGUCUAUUGGUUACGAAUGAGUCCGCUAGACAGCAUUUAUUCAGAGUGUAAUUUACAUGUGUAGUUGCACUGGGCAUGCUCUUGAAGUGGUUGCGCAACGGUUGCACUCAAUAGAGUAUGCUGUUCAGAAACUGGUAAGAUAAACAGAGUCUAUAAAUUUAUUGGUUUGUCUCUGUCAUAUCCCUUCUGCUUCAUUUUUUGGAUGUCUCCAACUUUGGCAAUUCUACUGUUGGUGGUUUUGAACAGAUGGAAGCAGUGGAGCUUGGAAACAUUCAUUCUCCCCAACUUGCGAGGUAUGAAUGCACUUCCCUCGUGAUGCUGUUGAGAAAGGCUUUCUGUGUAGUGUUGACGGGUUAUGCAUUGUUGAUGUUUUGGGGAAUAAUGGUCCGACCUACCGCUACCAUCCCAAGCAGGCAGUCUGAGCUCUCAGUGAGUGUCAGGCCACAAUGACUCGGUCGUGCACAAAAGUGUCAAUGCUCAAUUUAGAACAUAAUUUUUGUGGCAUGCGAGCAGUGGAACAUUUUAUUUUAUUUUACUUCAUUUUUUUUUAAAUGUGCAUUAUUAAACAAAUAAAAUGAUGGGUCUAAUUAUCCUUGUAGUAAGACCUGUCCAAGUGAGAUGUUGGGUAUUUUGUCUCUCUUCGUCGUUACUUCUCCAAUUUUCUGUUUUUAUACACAUUCCUAUUUCUGAUAGUUAUUUUCUGGAGAGAAUGCAGGGCUAAUGCUAAUUCUACGGGAGAGAAUGAUGUAAGAAACUUACAGCUUCAAGUUCAAACCAAACUGUCAGAUUCUCUAUUUACUGGACAGAAGCUAGAAGGAGAGGGGGGUGCUCGCAUUUCUGUUGCCUUGAUCAAUACAAAUACAGGGGAUGUUGUUAGAUCAGGCCUGGAAUCCUCCAUUAAGUUGGACGUCGUCGUGCUUGAAGGUGACUUCCACAAAGAUGAUGAGGAUAACUGGACCCAAGAAGAGUUUGAGAGCCACGUGGUUAAACAACGUGAAGGAAAGAGGCCGCUUUUGGCUGGAGAUCUCGUAGUGAAGCUCAAGGAAGGUGUUGGGGAGAUGGGAGAACUGAUAUUUACUGACAAUUCCAGUUGGGAUAGGAGUAAAAGAUUCAGAAUAGGGCUUAAGGUGGCAACGGGUGGUUGUGGGAACACACGAAUCCGAGAAGCAAAAACAGACGCCUUCCAAGUCAAGGAACAUAGAGGGGAAGGUAGGUCCUUCAUAGUCUUUCUACAGUAUAUAAACCUUAUCCUUUAUGACUGAACAUAAACAUGAUUUUGGACAUCCAGAGUCUUCAAUUUUUUAAUUUGGAGCUUCAUUUCGUGUGGACCUUUACAACUCGAACAAAGAUUUUGAGCAAUUCAGAAUAUUUCCCAAGAGAGACUAGAGAAAAACACGUCCUGAUGAUAAAUGAAUGUUUCAGGAGGAAUAUCUAGUUGAGAAGUAAUGAGGGUAACGUUCAAGUAACAACAUAGAAAACUCACUUCGACAUCAUGCGGUAAAACUGUACCGUCUUCAAGUCCCAAGAGAACAACCUUGCCAUCAGGACACCGGCAUAAUGAUGUUAUACAUUUACCUGGAGCAGAUUAGAAUAAUGAUUAAGAGAAGCUAGUAUUGACGACACACAUUGAAAUGUGCAAAGAAAGUGAAUUCAUUGUAAACGAGAGAGAGAGAGAGAGAGAGAGAGAGAGAGAGAGAGAGAGAGAGAGAGAGAGAGAGAGAGAGAGAGAGAGAGAGAGCAAAGAAAGUGAAUUCAUUGUAAACGAGAGAGAGAGAGAGAGAGAGAGAGAGAGAGAGAGAGAGAGAGAGUAUUUUAUCCCAAUAAAAUUAAUAGAAGAAGAGGAAAGAUAGAGGACAGACAUUAACCAACAAAAUGUUAAUCAAAAUUUAUGAAGUGAGGGAAAAAUGUAAUAAAUGUACAAAAUAGCUGAGAGGGAUAUUAGUCACUCGAUAUGGGAUUUCUUUGAGCUAGUAGGUCAUCUAAAGCAAGGGAGUCUAUAUCUUGUUGGCAGCCUCCACAUCCAAUAUCAUCAUAAAACAAACCUUUUUGUUCAAUUAUGGAACCUCAAGGUGAAGUGGUUGCACGAAAAAUUACUUCAGGCGAGGAUUACAAGUGUAAUAGUAUUUACAACUUAGGAUCUUAAGAGAAACCAUUCAAGGAUUGGCUCUAGUACUAUAGUGCACUCAAAACAUUCUCCAUAUCCAGAAGACAAUAUGAUGAGCGAAGCAUUGAGAUGUUUCCAGAGAAAAAAUCUCCUCUCCAAAUUUUUCCGGUGAGAAUAGACAUGAAGGACUACCAAGGCUAGGCAUCUAACUAAGUUCUUACAACUUUGAAUUACGAAAAGAUUAAGUCAUAUAGGAACCCAACAUACUUGGAUGUAGCUCCCCUGACCCUCCUAGUCCUUUUGCUUUCUCCAAUUUCUCCGAAAGAACGCCGAGCAAGAGCCGAACCUGAGAAGCCAGGCGGUUUGUCGAACUGAAGCUGAAACAGAAGCACACGCCGCGACCCUGCCUCGUCUCCAUAGCUAGAAAGCUCUGCUGGAGAAGUUGAAGAGCGAGACAAAGAAGGGAAGAGCGGGAGCGAGGUCCAUUGAAGCCUGAAAAUUCGCGGAGAAAGUUGCAGAAGGGGAACAAACGAGAGUCAAAAUAAGGAAGGAAGAGAGAGAUGGGAAUUGGGCCGUAAAAGGCCGCCACGGGAUCAACUAGGCUGGGCCGGACUUUGUAGCCCUGCCAAACAACGCCCGAAAGUGGUGGAUUAGUUAUUGACACGUAAUUUGGAAAAAGCAAUGUGAUCAUCCUCAUUUACUUUUGGAUUAAAAAAUGCUAAUGAAUUAUUCAAAUCGCAUCUCAUCAUCAAUAACAAAAAUUCACGCAUGCUUAAAUGGAGAUGAUGGGCCAAGCUUGAAUCCGACCAAGCCAUUUGCCAUCACCACCCAAGCUCUUAACGCUCGACCGAAUACAAAUACUCGACCAAGCCCCAAUUGGUGAGUUUUAUGCUAAACUCCUGUUAUAAGGUGCACACGUGCGUCAAUGAUACAGUAGGAAGAAAAAAAAGAGAUCUAAUGUCUUCUUUUUCUCUUUUAACAAAAUUAGACAAUUCACCCUGUUAAAAGGUAUAGCUUUGCUAUAUUAGGAAAAUCCCAUUUCUCUACUCGUGUACCUCUGCCGCAAGUGAUAAAACCUAAGCACAUUCAACAAUUGAAAGGCAAAAGAAUAAGACAGUUUACUCUUCCUUCCAAAUACAGUUUAAAAAACCCGGCAAGUAUAUGCUUUGCGAACACUUUUGGUUCCCACCUAUGUGACAAAUUGAGUGACUAAAGCUUUUGAGUGUUGAAAUAGUAGAACUUAUAUACUAAUUCUAGUCAACAAUUGCUUUUUCGGUCUUUUAAAAAACAGGACACAACAACUUUCCAUUGAUAAUUUACUAUCAUCUUUGGAAUGAUGGUUAUGCACUACUGAGCACAGGAAAUAGAAUGACCCCAAACCAGCUGCUCUUUCUUUGGUCCUUUGGUAGUUAUUCUAAAGGCACGAUGUGUAUUUGCACCAGUGGUCAUCAGAGUAGCAAACGAUGCAAACCAGAUUCCUUGUGCUAAAGUUUGGAAUGAAUUUCCUUAACUUGAGUAAGAGGGAACAUGAAUUAUCCAUAAGUAUGAACCAAAUGGGUUAAAUUUGAAAUAAAAAAACAAUCUGCUCACCUGAAGGCACCAACUACCAAUCAAAAGCUUGGUCACGUUCUGUAGCUUCUGAAGCAGUCCCUCAACCAGGUUGCAAUACCCUCUGUAAGACUCGAACCGAUUUUGAACAAAACAAUCAGUUGGCCUUCCCAAAUCCUUGCCCCUCAUAAAAAUGUUCGAAUUUGCUUCAAUCAAGGAUUGAGACUUCCGUUACCAGCUGCCUCAUCAUACCAGAAAAUCCUCUCAAACAGCAACAGAGGACUCGAAAUCUCCAAGGGAAAACCCUCAUCAAGUGCAUACCGAAAGCAGCUAUUGACCGCAAUUUCCCUCAAAGUUCUCGAACAAACCUUGAUGGUUCGCUUUAAACCGUAGCAUCCUUCCAAACUAAGGUACUCGAGAACAGGGCUGCCAUUCGACAUCUCGUGCAUCACCUCCGAGUCACAGAUGGACAGGGACCUAAGAUCAAUCCAAGUGAUACUUCUACUCAACGAGAAGCAACAGAGCCCCGAGUGCAGGUUCACCAAACGAAGAGCAUCCAUAAAAGGAGCAGCGGUACUGCGAAAUGGCCGGCCAUCUCGCACAACCUCGUAGUCACAUCGACUGAGAGGUCCUUGACGCGGCGGUCGACAGCAAAGCGAAGCCACGGACUGAGCUCAGGCGCGCAACGGUCGAGAAAAUCGGCGUCGACGUGGAACUUCCUCACCUUGGGCGACGCCUAGAGGAUCAAGACGCCGUCCACGGACGGGGAGGAGUUCCGCCAGGGGAGGGAGAGGACGAGGUCCGGGCCGGCGGUCCAGACGGAUCGCCACCGCUUCGAC
rnacentral:lncRNA from 1 species